GGAAAGGCGCGCGAUACAGGGUGACAGCCCCGUACACAAAAAUGCACAUGCUGUGAGCUCGAUGAGUAGGGCGGGACACGUGGUAUCCUGUCUGAAUAUGGGGGGACCAUCCUCCAAGGCUAAAUACUCCUGACUGACCGAUAGUGAACCAGUACCGUGAGGGAAAGGCGAAAAGAACCCCGGCGAGGGGAGUGAAAAAGAACCUGAAACCGUGUACGUACAAGCAGUGGGAGCACGCUUAGGCGUGUGACUGCGUACCUUUUGUAUAAUGGGUCAGCGACUUAUAUUCUGUAGCAAGGUUAACCGAAUAGGGGAGCCGAAGGGAAACCGAGUCUUAACUGGGCGUUAAGUUGCAGGGUAUAGACCCGAAACCCGGUGAUCUAGCCAUGGGCAGGUUGAAGGUUGGGUAACACUAACUGGAGGACCGAACCGACUAAUGUUGAAAAAUUAGCGGAUGACUUGUGGCUGGGGGUGAAAGGCCAAUCAAACCGGGAGAUAGCUGGUUCUCCCCGAAAGCUAUUUAGGUAGCGCCUCGUGAAUUCAUCUCCGGGGGUAGAGCACUGUUUCGGCAAGGGGGUCAUCCCGACUUACCAACCCGAUGCAAACUGCGAAUACCGGAGAAUGUUAUCACGGGAGACACACGGCGGGUGCUAACGUCCGUCGUGAAGAGGGAAACAACCCAGACCGCCAGCUAAGGUCCCAAAGUCAUGGUUAAGUGGGAAACGAUGUGGGAAGGCCCAGACAGCCAGGAUGUUGGCUUAGAAGCAGCCAUCAUUUAAAGAAAGCGUAAUAGCUCACUGGUCGAGUCGGCCUGCGCGGAAGAUGUAACGGGGCUAAACCAUGCACCGAAGCUGCGGCAGCGACACUAUGUGUUGUUGGGUAGGGGAGCGU
rnacentral:rRNA from 1 species